AUACGGAGGGUGCAAGCGUUAAUCGGAAUUACUGGGCGUAAAGCGCGCGUAGGCGGCUGAUUAAGUCGGAUGUGAAAUCCCUGGGCUCAACCUAGGAACUGCAUCCGAUACUGGUCAGCUAGAGUUUUGGAGAGGUAAGUGGAAUUUCCGGUGUAGCGGUGAAAUGCAUAGAGAUCUGAAGGAACACCAGUGGCGAAGGCGACUUACUGGCCAAAAACUGACGCUGAGGUGCGAAAGCGUGGGUAGCGAACAGGAUUAGAAACCCCAGUAGUCC
rnacentral:rRNA from 1 species